ensembl:lncRNA
AUUCGUUGAAGUAUCACUGUCACAGGCUGAACAUACACAUGAGGCUAAUCAAAUGUGUAAAUUAGCCUAAUAAAAAAAGUUAUAAUGAUAUGAAUAAUUUUAGAAUGUCCUCGGAGUUUUCUUGCUAUUUUAAAAACUUCUAUUUUGAAAUCACAAAAAGUUGUGAUUAGAUAAGUGCUUCCAGUGUCAAAGUUCAGCACAGUGAGUGGCCAGGAGCACCAGUAUAAUUCCCUGUACACUCUGGUCAUGGGGGAGCCUAGAGCCUAUCCCAGGCGGGGGACCCCUGGACAGGAUGCCAACCCACUGCAGAGCACAACUGCACACCCAUUCACACACUACAGACAAUUUGGAAAUACCAAUCAGCCUACAGUGCAUGUGUUUGGACGGGGGGAGGAAACUGGGGUACCCA